GGCGAACUGCUCAGUAACACGUAGCUAACCUAACCUUAGGUCAUGGAUAACAUCGGGAAACUGAUGCUAAUACGUGAUAGGAGAUUAUUUCUGGAAGGAGUUUUCUCUGAAAUUCGAGCCUAAGGAUGGGGCUGCGGCGGAUUAGGUAGUUGUUGGUGUAAAAGACCAACAAGCCGAAGAUCCGUAAGGGCCUUUAGCGAGGGGGCCCUGAGAAGGAAUCUGAGACACUAUUCCUAGCCCUACGGGGUGCAGCAGUUAAGAAUUUUUUGCAAUGCGCGAAAGCGUGACAAAGCGAGCCAGAGUGUUUUUCCGUAAAGGAAAAACUUUUUCUUACUGCAAAAAAGUAGGCGAAUAAGGACUGGGCAAGACCGGUGCCAGCCGCCGCGGUAAUCCCGGCAGUCCAAGUCGCAACCACAAUUAUUGGGUCUAAAACAUCCGUAGCUUGCUUUUCAAGUCUCUUGUGAAAUUCUGUCUCUUAAGGGCAGACCGUGCGAGAGAUACUGGAGAGCUAGAGACCGGAGGAUGUAAGGAGUACAGUUAAGGUAGUGGUAAAAUAUUUUAAUCUUAGCUGGACUAACAACAGCGAAGGCACCUUACAAAUACGGAUCUGACAGUGAGGGAUGAAGGCUAGGGGCGCAAAAUGGAUUAGAUACCCAUGUAGUCCUAGCAGUAAACACUGCACACUAAACAUCAGCAUCUCCUCGAGAGAUGUUGGUGCUGUAGGGAAGCCGAAGAGUGUGCUACCUGGGAAGUAUAGCCGCAAGGCCGAAACUUAAAGGAAUUGGCGGGGGAGUACUACAACGGGUGACGCGUGCGGUUCAAUUAGAUUCUACACCGUGAACCUCACCAGGACCGAUAGCAGAAUGAAGGUCAGUCUAAAGGGCUUACCUGACACGCUAAGAGGAGUUGCAUGGCCGACGUCAGCCUGUGUCGCGAGAUGAUCUGUUAAAUCAGGUAACAGGCGAGACCCAUGUGUAUAGUUGAUAUUCACACUAUACAGACUGCUUGGGCAACCAAGAGGAAGGUGUGGGCUACGUUAGGUGAGUACGGCCCGAACGCCCUGGGCUACACGCGCGCGGCAAUGCUGCAUACAGUGAGAUGCAACUCUGAAAAGAGAAGCUAAUCCCAUAAAGUGCAGCUCAGUUCAGAUUGAGGAUUGAAACUUAUCCUCAUGACGCUGGAAUCCGUAGUAAUCGUUCUUUAUCAGAGAACGGUGAAUAAGUCCCUGCUCCUUGCACACACCGCCCGUCAAACCAACCGAGUUAUGCUUUGGUGAGGCUCGAAAGAUACGAACCUCGGUAUGACAAGGUAGGUUAAGUCGUCACAAGGUA
rnacentral:rRNA from 1 species